rnacentral:rRNA from 1 species
UACGCUGGCGGCACGCCUAACACAUGCAAGUCGAACGCAGUAGCAAUACUGAGUGGCAAACGGGUGAGUAUAAUGUGGGAAUCUGCCUUUUGGUUUGGAAUAACACGGGGAAACUUGUGCUAAUACCGGAUAAGCCCUUACGGGGAAAGUUUUAACGCCGAAAGAUGAGCCUGCACUUGAUUAGCUAGUUGGUAAGGUAAAAGCUUACCAAGGCAACGAUCAAUAGCUGUUCUUAGAGGAAGACCAGCCACAUUGGGACUGAGACACGGCCCAGACUCCUACGGGAGGCAGCAGUGGGGAAUCUUGCACAAUGGGGGAAACCCUGAUGCAGCGAUGCCGCGUGAGUGAAGAAGGCCCUUGGGUUGUAAAACUCUUUCGUCGGGGAAGAAAAUGACUGUACCCGAAUAAGAAGGUCCGGCUAACU